rnacentral:rRNA from 1 species
AUGGUGUGGCGCAGCUACACAUGCAAGUCGAGCGGAUGAGGGUAGCUUGCUACCUGAUUCAGCGGCGGACGGGUGAGUAAUGCCUAGGAAUCUGCCCGAUAGUGGGGGACAACGUUUCGAAAGGAACGCUAAUACCGCAUACGUCCUAUGGGAGAAAGUGGGGGAUCUUCGGACCUCACGCUAUCGGAUGAGCCUAGGUCGGAUUAGCUAGUUGGUGAGGUAAUGGCUCACCAAGGCGACGAUCCGUAACUGGUCUGAGAGGAUGAUCAGUCACACUGGAACUGAGACACGGUCCAGACUCCUACGGGAGGCAGCAGUGGGGAAUAUCGGACAAUGGGCGAAAGCCUGAUCCAGCCACGCCGCGUGUGUGAAGAAGGUCUUCGGAUUGUAAAGCACUUUAAGUUGGGAGGAAGGGCAGUAAGUUAAUACCUUGCUGUUUUGACGUUACCAACAGAAUAAGCACCGGCUAACUUCGUGCCAGCAGCCGCGGUAAUACGAAGGGUGCAAGCGUUAAUCGGAAUUACUGGGCGUAAAGCGCGCGUAGGUGGUUCAGCAAGUUGGAUGUGAAAGCCCCGGGCUCAACCUGGGAACUGCAUCCAAAACUACUGAGCUAGAGUACGGUAGAGGGUGGUGGAAUUUCCUGUGUAGCGGUGAAAUGCGUAGAUAUAGGAAGGAACACCAGUGGCGAAGGCGACCACCUGGACUGAUACUGACACUGAGGUGCGAAAGCGUGGGGAGCAAACAGGAUUAGAUACCCUGGUAGUCCACGCCGUAAGCGAUGUCAACUAGCUGUUGGGUUCCUUGAGAACUUAGUAGCGCAGCUAACGCGAUAAGUUGACCGCCUGGGGAGUACGGCCGCAAGGUUAAAACUCAAAUGAAUUGACGGGGGCCCGCACAAGCGGAGGAGCAUGUGGUUUAAUUCGAAGCAACGCGAAGAACCUUACCUGUCUUGACGUGCUGAGAACUUUCCAGAGAUGGAUUGGUGCCUUCG